CCUACGGGGGGCUGCAGUAGGGAAUUUUCGGCAAUGGGGGGAACCCUGACCGAGCAAUGCCGCGUGAACGAUGAAGGUCUUCGGAUUGUAAAGUUCUGUCAAUAGGGAAGAAUGGUCCGCGUAGUGGAAAGACGCGGGCGUGACGGUACCUGUUUAGAAAGCCCCGGCCAACUAUGUGCCAGCAGCCGCGGUAAUACAUAGGGGGCGAGCGUUAUCCGGAUUUAUUGGGCGUAAAGCGUGCGUAGGCGGUUUAUUAGGUCAGGCGUAAAAGAUCACAGCUCAACUGUGUAGGGCGUUUGAAACCGGUAGACUUGAAUAUGGUAGAGGCAGGCGGAAUUCCAUGUGUAGCGGUGGAAUGCGUAGAUAUAUGGAGGAACACCAAUGGCGAAGGCAGCCUGCUGGGCCAGAAUUGACGCUGAGGCACGAAAGCGUGGGGAGCAAACAGGAUUAGAUACCCUAGUAGUC
rnacentral:rRNA from 1 species